CAUGAACAUCCGCAGCCAGUCGUCCCAUUUGUUUUUUCUAGCUAGACGCGAGACAUUUGUUAAAAAAGGGCAGAAAUGAAAAGAUAAGCCCACUUCGACUGUGAACAUUGGCUUUUGUUCGGCAAAUAAAGUACUGGCUCAUUUGAAGGAAACGUGCCAUUUUGUCCUCAGGAACGAUGUCCCAUCACUCAAAUCAAAGCAAUCAAAGCUUAAGUUUUGACAUCAUCAAGCGACUGUGAAGUGAAGCGUUAGUCCAUUGUUUCAGUUCUUCCCUCCUCCAUAAAGUCAUCAUAAUUACAUUCUCAGAGAGGAGUUGGAAUCCUUGCCCAGAUAUGCAGAAGGACCAUUGAAUGCCACGCGAAUGGAUGUCUAGCAUCAACAGCAGCGCCGACUGACCUGCAUCCAGGCAUGCUGGAGCGCCUCGUCGAUGCUCAUGCGCUGGGCGGGGUCCACCACCAGAAGUUUCCUCACCACCUCCUUGGCUGUAACACACACGGAGGCAGAUGUGAACCAGUGAGCGGCGAGAAGAGGAGGACGGCAAAGGCAAAAACGACGAUGUCACCCUGCUCGGACACGUGGCGCCACUUAGCUGGCAACAUCGUGAAGCUGCCUCGGAUGAUCUGCUCGCUCACCGACAGCUCGUGGAAGUUCUCGUGGAAUGGCGGGUAUCCGCACAAGCUGCAUAUAAACACACAAGGCAUCGGAUGUGAUGCGUCCGUCCCGUUUCCACUGAGCCAGCUCGUCUUACCAAACAAAGAGGAGCACGCCGAGGCUCCAGGCGUCAACAGCUAGGCCGUAGCCACCCCCGCCGCCUGCAGCGUACGUCAAGACUUCGGGCGCCAGGUAGGACGGUGUCCCGCACAGUGUCCUCAUCAAGGCCGCCUCCUCCACGAUCCUUGACUGGUUGAAAUCGGUGACCUGGAGAACACACGCGGUAGUGUUGCACCAAUACUAGUAUACUAGAUACUAGUAUCAGUACCGAUACGGCCCUAAAAUGACGCCACUGACAUCUGCAAGUACUAAGAAAUAACGAGCUGAUAAUACACAAAACUUUGCCAGAUGUAAUUUCCAAUCGCCCGACCAAAGAUGGCCGCCAGCUUCUAAAAAUCUCGACAAGGGUUUGCUUUGUAAAAAAAAAAAAAACAUGUUACAGUAGCUAUGAAUGCAUAAAAAUGAAAUUAUUUUAUUGCAGCUAUGACGUUUAAAAAAAAAAAAAAAAAAAAAAAGGUUGAAUAUUAAGCAAAUUAUAGUUAUUUCAAAGUACAUGCCAUUUAUCCAUUGGCACUGUCACAAAAUGGCCGACAAGUUAUAACAGCUGUACCCGUUGGCUCUCAGCACACUGGAAGAGAACCCAAAAUUACUCAAAAUGAACAGGGGUGACUUAAGAAUGUCCCUAAAAUCUACAGGAAUUGAUCUGAUUCAACAUGAUCUAGAAAUUAAUCAGGAAGUGACUUAUAAUUGCGCCAAAAUUGAAUGGCACUGUCACAAAAUGUCCGUUCCUAUUGGUUAUCAGCGCGUUGGAAGAGAAGCCAAAAUGCCCCAAAUAUAGGUAGUGAUUUGGCAUUGUGACUAAAUCUAUCAGAUAUCAACAGGAAGUGACGUAGAAAUGACCCAAAAUCAAUAGGAGUGAAUCCUGAUUGCUCCCAACAUCAAAUGGCACUGACAAAAAAAUGGCCGACAAGUGAUAACAGCCGUCCCAGUUGGCUUAUAGUACGCUGGAGGAGAAUCCGAAAUGCCCCAAAAAAUUAACAGUAAGUGACUUGGGAUUGCCCCAACAUCAGCAGGAAGUGAUCCCAACUCAAAUGGCCCUGACACAAAAUGGCAGACAUCGUGAUUGGCUCAUAAUGCACAUUACACCUGCCUGGAAGUGAACCUGAAAUGAAGAGUAGGUGUCUUGGAAUGAACCUUAAAGUGCGUAUGACACCAAAAAGCAUGUUUAUUUCAUAUUUCACACGGUGUUUUAUGCUCCUGAAUGAAAUGGACCGCUUGGAUGUGUGUGGAGGCGAUCAUUUUAUAUAUUCAAUUUUUGAAUCCUACGGCAUGAAAAUGAGUGACUUCCGGCUUCAGUCUCGGAUUUAGGACGAAUGCGAAUGUGACGUCACCCGGUUCAGCAUCUCACAAUAUAGCAUUGCGUUAUAGCAUGGAGAUAGACUGCCGAUUCAGCUGAUUUUGCGGAUUAAUUGGUUUUUUUUUUUCGCAUCACGCCAUGUGACGGCCCUGGCCGUUUAACUGUUGUUUUAUUUUGAGAAGCCUCCAGUCAGCUGAUAGUCACCUCCGCCAGCUGGCUGCCUCCCCUCCCACUGUGACGUAAGCUGAUUGAUGCUGGACGGACAGACGACGUCGAUGCCGCUGAUUGGCCACGACGAAAAGGCGGCAAGCUUCAUAAACCUGCCGCUGUCAACGCUCUGGGAGGUCGCAUUUGACAGCAUUCGUGCCGCGGUCCUCCUUGCCAGCUGUUUGCUCGCCAUUCACUCUCGUGUGCGUUUGAUCGCUAGUUUGAUACAUUCCCGCUUUUUCCGUGAGGUCUUUUGUGUUUAUUCAUUAUUGGAUCGUUUUGUUCACCACUGUAAAUAAGAGCACUGGAGCAGUAGGGGUAAGCCGCCAUUUCUGUUCAACCUGUUUCCUCCUGUUUUGUUUAGAGUAGGAAGCUAAGGUAGUGGCUGUCUUUUUGUUCUUUCCUUUUUACGAUCAGGGUUUAGUUAGCGGGUGGGGUUUAAGUGUAGUUCCUUUUGUUUGUUGUUUUGGCCUGGGCUUACCCUGAAGCCGCGCUUCUUCCGCAUUUUGUAUAUAUUCAUUGCGAGUUUGAUUGUUGUGAAUAAAUUGUGUCCACUUGUAAA